AUGCUGCAGACGUCCUCCACGUCUGUGCUAGGACCAAAGCCCCCCACGCUAGUGGUUAAGCUUGAUUUCUCCAAAGCCUUCGACUCUGUGUCUUGGCCCGCUCUCCUCUCUAUUCUUCGGGCCCGGGGCUUCUCAGAGAAAUGGCCAGGGUGGAUUAGCGUUUUACUUAACUCUGGCAAAACAACAGUUCUCCUUAAUGGCUCACUAGGGCCAUGGAUCCAGUGUAAGAACGGACUCCGACAGGGUUACCCACUUUCCCCUUUCCUAUUCAUUAUCCUUGCAGAUGUUCUCCAGCAGAUGAUUAUCAACGCAUGUUCCCUAAAUCACCUAGCCCACCCGGUCUUGCCCUCCUUACCCUGCCCCGUCCUUCAGUAUGCAGAUGACACGCUUAUCAUUAUCAAAGCCGACCCGCAAGGUGCAACCAACCUCAAACAAAUUCUUGAUGACUUCUCCCUUGCUACUGGCCUCUCGAUUAACUUUCAUAAAACGACGAUUGUCCCCAUGAACGUCGACCCACAACUCGCCGCUGAUAUGGUGGCUACCUUAGGGGCGACUACUGCCGCCUUCCCUUAG
rnacentral:rRNA from 1 species